rnacentral:rRNA from 1 species
AAUAGAUACCGGGUAGUCCACGCCGUAAACGAUGAGUGCUAAGUGUUAGAGGGUUUCCGCCCUUUAGUGCUGCAGCUAACGCAUUAAGCACUCCGCCUGGGGAGUACGGCCGCAAGGCUGAAACUCAAAGGAAUUGACGGGGGGCCCGCACAAGCGGUGGAGCAUGUGGUUUAAUUCGAAGCAACGCGAAGAACCUUACCAGGUCUUGACAUCCUCUGACACUCCUAGAGAUAGGAUUUUUCCCCCUUCGGGGGGACAGAGUGACAGGUGGUGCAUGGUUGUCGUCAGCUCGUGUCGUGAGAUGUUGGGUUAAGUCCCGCAACGAGCGCAACCCUUGAUCUUAGUUGCCAGCAUUUAGUUGGGCACUCUAAGGUGACUGCCGGUGACAAACCGGAGGAAGGUGGGGAUGACGUCAAAUCAUCAUGCCCCUUAUGACCUGGGCUACACACGUGCUACAAUGGAUGGUACAAAGGGCUGCAAGACCGCGAGGUUUAGCCAAUCCCAUAAAACCAUUCCCAGUUCGGAUUGCAGGCUGCAACCG